rnacentral:lncRNA from 1 species
UUUCCUGGUUAGGUUAGUUUGCUUAUGCAAGUAGGAUAGAAAACCGAACUUAGGGUUAACUUUGCAUGACAACAUUAGGCUCGAGUCUCAGCUCCCUAGUGUCGUGUUUUUCCCCCGGUUUCUGGUUAGGAGAGAGUUUCUCCCCUGUUUAGGGGAACUACAUCGCCCUGAUCCUCGUGCCAGACGAGGUAUGUAGGCAGGUGGUCGUG